rnacentral:rRNA from 1 species
AUUGAACGCUGGCGGCAGGCCUAACACAUGCAAGUCGAACGGUAGCACAGAGAGCUUGCUCUCGGGUGACGAGUGGCGGACGGGUGAGUAACGUCUGGGAAACUGCCUGAUGGAGGGGGAUAACUACUGGAAACGGUAGCUAAUACCGCAUAACGUCGCAAGACCAAAGUGGGGGACCUUCGGGCCUCACACCAUCGGAUGUGCCCAGAUGGGAUUAGCUAGUAGGUGGGGUAAUGGCUCACCUAGGCGACGAUCCCUAGCUGGUCUGAGAGGAUAACCAGCAACACUGGAACUGGGACACGGUCCAGACUCCUACGGGAGGCAGCAGUGGGGAAUAUUGCACAAUGGGCGCAAGCCUGAUGCAGCCAUGCCGCGUGUAUGAAGAAGGCCUUCGGGUUGUAAAGUACUUUCAGCGGGGAGGAAGGCGGUGAAGUUAAUAGCUUCACCGAUUGACGUUACCCGCAGAAGAAGCACCGGCUAACUCCGUGCCAGCAGCCGCCGUAA